rnacentral:rRNA from 1 species
ACGCUCGACACCUACGGGAGGGCAGCAGUGGGGAAUAUUGCACAAUGGGGGAAACCCUGAUGCAGCGACGCCGCGUGGAGGAAGAAGGUCUUCGGAUUGUAAACUCCUGUUGUUGGGGAAAAAGAGGAUGGUACCCAACAAGGAAGUGACGGCUAACUACGUGCCAGCACGCCGACGGUAAUCUGAGGCGGGCGUGGACGAAGGC